AAUAAAGAGGUCACUCUUCCCAUCAGAAGAAGCUGAAUACAAUCUCUUCUGACACAAACUGGGCAGAAUCCAAAUACCACUGUCCAGAACCAUGGGUUUUCAGACUUUCUGGUAGAGAAACCCUUGGCAAAGCAGCAGUCAGUAGUAGCAGGCAUUUGGGUGAGCCCAUGGCAGAGAACAAAUCUCCUUAGGAAUAUUAUUACUGAGUAUUUACUGCACAAAGUGAAAUCUGAGCAAGUCCCACGUAGAGAUAUGAGCUUAGGAGAGCCACGAGCUUAGGAGAGCCACCCCUGAGCCACCCCUGACUAGAGAGUUUUUCUUACCCUUCAGGGAGAAGAAUUUGGGAGUUUAUGCCAAAACUCUUUUCUAUAUCAUGUACAGUUUGUUGCAUCAAGUUGUAAGUUAUCUAGAAAUACCUGCGUUGGUCUUAUUUCAUAGUGCGGGUUCAAGCAUUCUCGAUACUUCCUUCUGUCAUCUUCAUAAAGUCCUGGGUCCCAGAGAGCUGCCAGCUGUUAUUACAGCAAGAUACCUGCACAGGGUGGACCCCUUCUGACUCUUGCAGUUAAAAUCCUGGUGCCUGGAGUUUCCAGGUAUUCCAUGGCUUGUCCGCACCUUGAGUGACAGCACGGUGAAGGGGAUAGAGCAAGCGGCUUUGGCAUCAAGGCCGCAGUGAGGUGAAGUCCCAUCUCUACCUCCUUUAAUGGCUGUAAUGGAAUAACGCAAUGGAAACGUGCAGGUGAUGACGGGGAUUGGCUGGAGUCAGGAGGAGAGGGAAGACGAUCGUUUCCACAAGUCACUGUGAAGCCAGGUUAGAGUAAUUUGUUCUCCACAGUGAAAGCCUCACUUAUUAAGAAGCUCUUCACAAAACCUGUGGAAAAUGCACAAGCAACGGUUGGCAGUGGCUGUCGCCAGGGGGAAUCAUGUAGCUGGGGGAGAAAAGUCACCCUACGCCCUUCCAGACCAUGUUCACAUAUUUCUUCCCCCAGGAAGCAAAUACAGAGUUUAAAACGACCUAUUCUUCUUUUCUGGAAUAUGAUUUUUUUUCUUUUUUUGAAAUUGAAGUAUAGUUGAUUUACAAUGUUGUGUUAGUUUCAGGCGCACUGAAAAGUGAUUCAGGUAUACGUAUAAAAACAGUCUAUCCUUGACUGAUAACUGCUUUCUAUCAGCGCUUCUCUGGUACAGGUGCUGUCUUGGGUGUGUUUACGUAAGUUUUCUCAUUUUCUGGAUUCACUUUUGACUUGUCAUAACAAUUGUUCCAAAUACACAGAUACGUCUUGAUCUUUCGAAGCUUGCUGAUAAUUCUGCCCACAGGUAUUCGUAGGAACCCAAGGACAAACAGCAAGACAAUUCGCUGGACUUGGGGCCACAAGGCAGGUGUAUUGAAGGGAAUGGGUCAUGGGCGGAACAUACUUAGACAUACUUAGUGGGGUGAGAGGGAAAGAACCUUUCUGAUGGGAGAGAUUCCAGGGGAGGAAGGGAGGUUUCCGAAGUCGUCUCUGUGGCAGGAGGACAUUUGUGGAGUGUAGGGGGGAGGACACAGGUGCAGCCUGAGAGGGAACGCAACCAGAGCCAUCCCACACCCGAUGAGGGGCGCAUUUAUAUUGGGGUCCCACGCCUGACAACCCCAGGAAGUGGCCCUUUGCCCGUUCUUCAUCAUAAAGUGAACCCUGUGGGGAGUGGAAGAUGAGUUUAGAACAGUGUCAGCCCAGCAGGCCUCAGGAGACGUUGCUGACUGACUGCACUGAUCUAACUCCAGGAGAGGGGAGCUCCCGCAUUUUGGGGGGCCCUAUGCCCUGCACAGUCUCUGAAGAGGGUGCAUUUAUACCUAUUGUCCUAAAUGAACUAGAGGCAAAGGAGCCGAGUGAUGACCCUGAAAAGUGGGCUGCCAUUUGCAGCUACAUGGAAGGACCUAGAGAUGAUCAUACUAAGUGAAGUCCUCACAGAAGCAUUUCUAGGUAACUGUCACCCGUGCCAGGAAGGAAGACAGGAAGCAUGACUGUGACCAUUUCCACGGCUCCCUCAAGCAUCCCCGACCACACACCUGGUCAUCUUUGGGCUGUGCCAGGUCUUAGCUGCUGCAUGUGGGAUCCUCACUGCGGUGUGUGGGAUCUUUAGUUGCGACAUGUGGACCUCUCAGUCACGGCAUGUGGACUCCCAGUUGCGCAUGCACGCAGGAUCUUAGUUCCCCGACCAGGGAUCGAACCCAGCACCCCUGCAUUGGGACAUUGGGAGCAGAGUCUUACACACUGGACCACCAGGGAAGUCCCUGGAAAUGAUGUCUAUUUUUUUUUUUUGCGGUACG